rnacentral:rRNA from 1 species
GCAUAUCAAUAAGCAGAGGAAAAGAAACCAACAGGGAUUGCCCUAGUAACGGCGAGUGAAGCGGCAACAGCUCAAAUUUGAAAUCUGGCUCUUUCAGAGUCCGAGUUGUAAUUUGCAGAGGGCGCUUUGGCUUUGGCAGCGGUCCAAGUUCCUUGGAACAGGACGUCACAGAGGGUGAGAAUCCCGUACGUGGUCGCUAGCUAUUGCCGUGUAAAGCCCCUUCGACGAGUCGAGUUGUUUGGGAAUGCAGCUCUAAAUGGGAGGUAAAUUUCUUCUAAAGCUAAAUAUUGGCCAGAGACCGAUAGCGCACAAGUAGAGUGAUCGAAAGAUGAAAAGCACUUUGGAAAGAGAGUCAAACAGCACGUGAAAUUGUUGAAAGGGAAGCGCUUGCAGCCAGACUUGCUUGCAGUUGCUCAUCCGGGCUUUUGCCCGGUGCACUCUUCUGUAGGCAGGCCAGCAUCAGUUUGGGCGGUGGGAUAAAGGUCUCUGUCACGUACCUCUCUUCGGGGAGGCCUUAUAGGGGAGACGACAUACCACCAGCCUAGACUGAGGUCCGCGCAUCUGCUAGGAUGCUGGCGUAAUGGCUGUAAGCGGCCCGUCUUGAAACACGGACCAAGGAGUCUAACAUCUAUGCGAGUGUUUGGGUGUCAAGCCCGAGCGCGUAAUGAAAGUGAACGGAGGUGGGAACCCGCAAGGGUGCACCAUCGACCGAUCCUGAAGUUUUCGGAAGGAUUUGAGUAAGAGCAUGGCUGUUGGGACCCGAAAGAUGGUGAACUAUGCUUGAAUAGGGUGAAGCCAGAGGAAACUCUGGUGGAGGCUCGCAGCGGUUCUGACGUGCAAAUCGAUCGUCAAAUUUGGGCAUAGGGGCGAAAGACUAAUCGAACUAUCUAGUAGCUGGUUCCUGCCGAA